rnacentral:lncRNA from 1 species
UCCGUUUCUUCCAUUGAAACUCAUGUUCAUAAGGUACUGUUUAGAUCCCCCGCAGACCAUCCUCAGCGGUCCCUGGCUCACUGCCCCUCUCUUUGCACCACUAUUCCAGCAUAAUUUUUUGUAAAGCUAACUAUCCAUCCAGAUGACCCUUUCAAUGUCCGUCAUCACCUAGCUUUUCAGUGUCUUUCUUACAGUGGCUCUGUCCUUGAGCUCACUCAGCCAGGCCACAGUCCCUUCAUAGUUUCACAAUCCUCACUCAUCUACUCAGAUUCCUAAUUUGUCUAACUCGUCCAAUCUAUUAUCAACCUACUUCCUCACCAUCCUACCCCAUUUCCAUUAGCCUUUUAAACAUCACACCCUUACACACCAUCUGUGAAUCUCCAGGUUCCUCACUAGACACCCUCCUUUGUAUAACUCUCCUUACACCUUCACUAAGACUUAGCUCAACAGCCUUGGCUAAAUUAGCUUCCUCCCCACAUUGGCACAGCUGACUGUGAAUGAGAAACGUCCACAUGGCCACACCUCUCCCAUCUGCUCCCUGAGCGUGAUAUGGUAAUCUGCCCCUGUCUAGUCACUCACGGUUCUACCACCUCAGGGCCUCUAACCUCAGGGCCUCUAUUUCUCCUCAAGUCUACACUUACUCAGUGAGCUCCAGAAUCAUGUGUGAAGCUACCAACUUGUCCACAUUAAUAGCACUCAACAAGUACUUCAAACCACAUUCUAAUCUCAACAAAUCUUCAUAACCACUUAUAACUUUUCCUGCUAAUAUUCAAGUCACCACCAUCUCUUAUCUGGGUUUCUGCGGCUAAUCUUAUUUUUCUUGAGUUUAAUUCUCCAAAGAACAGCCAGAAUAUUACAAAACCACAAAUAACUUCAUGACCUCUCAACUCAAGAGUGUCCACUUGCCAUGUUGCCUUACUACAGUUGAAUUCCCAAUUCCUUACCAUGACCUACAACAGCCGAUCUGGCCUGGGCCCUCUCUGGAUGCAUCCUCAACCUUUUCCUAUGCAGUGACCUACCUCCCUUCACCGUCUCCUGAGUUUUCCAAGCAUGCCUUUACCCAAGAUCCUCUCCCAAGAGUGAAUGGUUUGCUCCACUGUAUUUUUCAAAUAGCUGCUUAAAAUCUCCAAAAGCUUUUUUCCCUACUGUAAUUUUCCACCUUCAUACGCCCCUCUUAGUAACAUGUAUCAAUGCAUACUCUAUCUGCUUCUCCGAUGUUUUCUUUACUAUAAUGCAAGCUCAGGAGACCUCUGUUUUCUGAAGUAGCUUUAGUACUUAUCAAGAGACUUACUAGUGUAAUAGUGCACACCUGUAAUACCAAGCAGUUGGAAGGCAGAGGCAAGUGGAUCUCUGACUUCCAGGCCAGCCAGGGGCACACAGAAAGACCCUGUCUCGUGAAUAACCAAAACAAACGAAGGAAGGAAGAAACGAGGAAGGGAGGGAGGGAGAAAAAAAAGGUCUUACACAUAGUGAGCGCUCAAGUACUUUGUGAAUGAAUAUAUGCUGAAUACUUUAGUGAGACAGUAGGAAUGGAGGCUGGAAAUAGCUUGGAAAAUAAAGAGUGCUUGCUGCUCUUAUAGUGGACCCAAGUCCAGCUCCUAGCAGCCACAUCAAGCAGUUCAUUCCAGUUCCAGGGACUCCAAUGCCCUCUUCCAGCCUUUGUGGGUAACAUACGUGUAUUCAGGGGAGCAUAUACACAUCAAAC